CAGCAGCCGCGGUAAUACGUAGGGUCCGAGCAUUGUCCGGAUUUAUUGGGCGUAAAGAGCUCGUAGGCGGCUCAGUAAGUCAGAUGUGAAAACUCAGGGCUCAACCCGGAGACGCCAUCUGAUACUGCUGUGGCUUGAGUCUGGUAGGGGAUCACGGAAUUCCUGGUGUAGCGGUGAAAUGCGCAGAUAUCAGGAGGAACACCGAUGGCGAAGGCAGUGAUCUGGGCCAGUACUGACGCUGAGGAGCGAAAGCGUGGGUAGCAAACAGGAUUAGAUACCCUGGUAGUCCACGCCGUAAACGUUGGGCACUAGGUGUGGGACCCCGUCAACGGGUUCCGUGCCGUAGCUAACGCAUUAAGUGCCCCGCCUGGGGAGUACGGCCGCAAGGCUAAAACUCAA
rnacentral:rRNA from 1 species